UGCGUAGGCGGAUCGAUAAGUCAGUGGUGAAAUCUCUCGGCUCAACCGGGAAACUGCCAUUGAUACUGUUGAUCUUGAGUUCGGUUGAGGUAGGCGGAAUGUGUAAUGUAGCGGUGAAAUGCUUAGAUAUUACACAGAACACCAAUUGCGUAGGCAGCUUACUAGACCGACACUGACGCUGAGGCACGAAAGCGUGGGGAGCGAACAGGAUUAGAUACCCUGGUAGUCC
rnacentral:rRNA from 1 species